AUUGAACGCUAGCUACAGGCUUAACACAUGCAAGUCGAGGGGUAACAAGAGAAAAGCUUGCUUUUCUUGUUGACGACCGGCGCACGGGUGAGUAACGCGUAUCCAACCUGCCUAUAACUAGGGAAUAACCUUGCGAAAGUAAGACUAAUACCCUAUGAUUUCCUUUGAUGACAUCAGAUUAGGAAUAAAGAUUUAUCGGUUAUAGAUGGGGAUGCGUCUGAUUAGCUUGUUGGCGGGGUAACGGCCCACCAAGGCAACGAUCAGUAGGGGUUCGGAGAGGAAGGUCCCCCAAAUUGGAACUGAGACACGGUCCAAACUCCUACGGGAGGCAGCAGUGAGGAAUAUUGGUCAAUGGGCGGAAGCCUGAACCAGCCAAGUAGCGUGCAGGAUGACGGCCCUAUGGGUUGUAAACUGCUUUUAUACAGGAAUAAAGUUAGCCACGUGUGGUUAUUUGUAGGUACUGUAUGAAUAAGGACCGGCUAAUUCCGUGCCAGCAGCCGCAGUAA
rnacentral:rRNA from 1 species